rnacentral:rRNA from 1 species
GACGAACGCUGGCGGCGUGCUUAACACAUGCAAGUCGAACGGAAAGGCCCUGCUUUUGUGGGGUGCUCGAGUGGCGAACGGGUGAGUAACACGUGAGUAACCUGCCCUUGACUUUGGGAUAACUUCAGGAAACUGGGGCUAAUACCGGAUAGGAGCUCCUGCUGCAUGGUGGGGGUUGGAAAGUUUCGGCGGUUGGGGAUGGACUCGCGGCUUAUCAGCUUGUUGGUGGGGUAGUGGCUUACCAAGGCUUUGACGGGUAGCCGGCCUGAGAGGGUGACCGGCCACAUUGGGACUGAGAUACGGCCCAGACUCCUACGGGAGGCAGCAGUGGGGAAGAUUGCACAAUGGGCGGAAGCCUGAUGCAGCAACGCCGCGUGCGGGAUGACGGCCUUCGGGUUGUAAACCGCUUUCGCCUGUGACGAAGCGUGAGUGACGGUAAUGGGUAAAGAAGCGCCGGCUAACUACGUG